rnacentral:rRNA from 1 species
GAUGAACGCUGGCGGCGUGCCUAAUACAUGCAAGUCGAGCGAACGGACGAGAAGCUUGCUUCUCUGAUGUUAGCGGCGGACGGGUAAGUAACACGUGGAUAACCUACCUAUAAGACUGGGAUAACUUCGGGAAACCGGAGCUAAUACCGGAUAAUAUUUUGAACCGCAUGGUUCAAAAGUGAAAGACGGUCUUGCUGUCACUUAUAGAUGGAUCCGCGCUGCAUUAGCUAGUUGGUAAGGUAACGGCUUACCAAGGCAACGAUGCAUAGCCGACCUGAGAGGGUGAUCGGCCACACUGGAACUGAGACACGGUCCAGACUCCUACGGGAGGCAGCAGUAGGGAAUCUUCCGCAAUGGGCGAAAGCCUGACGGAGCAACGCCGCGUGAGUGAUGAAGGUCUUCGGAUCGUAAAACUCUGUUAUUAGGGAAGAACAUAUGUGUAAGUAACUGUGCACAUCUUGACGGUACCUAAUCAGAAAGCCACGGCUAACUACGUG